UGAGGAAUAUUGGUCAAUGGACGCAAGUCUGAACCAGCCAAGUAGCGUGCAGGAUGACGGCCCUAUGGGUUGUAAACUGCUUUUAUAUGGGGAUAAAGUUGGGUACGUGUUCCCUUUUGCAGGUACCCUAUGAAUAAGGACCGGUUAAUUCCGUGCCAGCAGCCGCGGUCAUACGGAAGGUUCGGGCGUUAUCCGGAUUUAUUGGGUUGAAAGGGAGCGUAGGCCGUUUGGUAAGCGUGUUGUGAAAUGUAGGAGCUCAACUUCUAGAUUGCAGCGCGAACUGUCAGACUUGAGUGCGCACAACGUAGGCGGAAUUCAUGGUGUAGCGGUGAAAUGCUUAGAUAUAAUGAAGAACUCCGAUUGCGAAGGCAGCUUACGGGAGCGCAACUGACGCUGAAGCUCGAAGGUGCGGGUAUCGAACAGG
rnacentral:rRNA from 1 species